ACAACCCUGAACGGUGGAUCACUCGGCUCGCGGGUCGAUGAAGAACGCAGCAAAUUGCGCGUCGACAUGUGAACUGCAGGACACAUGAACAUCGACAUUUCGAACGCACAUUGCGGUCCUUGGAUUUCCAAUCCCGGACCACGCCUGGCUGAGGGUCGGCUUAUGCCA
rnacentral:rRNA from 1 species